rnacentral:rRNA from 1 species
AAUGAACGCUGGCGGCGUGCUUAACACGUGCAAGUCGAACGAACCUUCGGGUUAGUGGCGGACGGGUGAGUAACGCGUGGGAAUCUGCCCUCAGGAGGGGGAUAACGGCUGGAAACGGCCGCUAAUACCCCAUAUGCCGAGAGGUGAAAUGAAUUUCGCCUGAGGAUGAGCCCGCGUCUGAUUAGCUAGUUGGUGAGGUAAGAGCUCACCAAGGCAUCGAUCAGUAGCUGGUCUGAGAGGAUGAUCAGCCACACUGGGACUGAGACACGGCCCAGACUCCUACGGGAGGCAGCAGUGGGGAAUUUUCCGCAAUGGGCGAAAGCCUGACGGAGCAACGCCGCGUGAGGGAUGAAGGCCUCUGGGCUGUAAACCUCUUUUCUCAAGGAAGAAGAUCUGACGGUACUUGAGGAAUAAGCCACGGCUAAUUCCGUG